AGUGUGAGAGAAAAAGUUGAGAGAAAACUUGAGAGGAAAAAGUAAAUCGACAGAGUCCUCGUCGGAGAAUCACCAACGAAAUUCAUCCUCUACCGAGACUUACACUCUGGAGCUUCUUCGAGAGAGAAGAAAGACUCGUGUUGUUGAGGUUCCAUCUUCCGUCAAGAUCCGAGAGAAAUCCGCAAGGGAAGUUCAGCCACUGAUUUUGUGAGGAAAUCGGACGAAAUGUUGAGAUCGGAGAAUCUUUCCAAGAACGGAUGAGAGAGAAGGCGACAGCGCGCCACGUGUCAACCGGCAAGAGGUCCGCAUGCGCCAAUAAUCACCGGACACGCGUCGAACGCCGCCUGGGGAGCUGCGGCUCCAGCCUUCCAGCGACACGCGUCUGUUGCCACGCAACCCGACCCGCGUUCCUCGGCUAACACGGUACCCGCGAGACGAAACAAACUGCGACGACCCACAGUCCACCCGAACCGAACCAACAACCCACGGCUGCAGAAAAACGUGUGCGUGUAACACUCAUGCGUGGAACCUGCGAGUGAGUUUGUCCCAGCGCGUGAUCCUAUUGAGGAACAAUCAGUACCUUUUGAUAUGCUAAUUGUGUGGAAACGCUACAUAAGGGCACACAUCAUCCAACUAAAUGGCACCAAAGAGAUGUGGACCCUAUCUAGGGCCUGGACCUAGAAGGAGAAGAAGAGUCGCUCAGAACACUGAUGUCCCGUCACCUGAGGUGGAACAACCUAUACCUGAACCUCAAGAGGAGGUUGAUGAAAUGCCCUAAUGGUUCGAGAGUCCUAUACCACAGGCAUCAAGAUCAGGAAUGAGUCAAAGGAGAGCAAUGACUCAAGACUUACCUGACGUAGACUCUACUGCUCCUUCUCCUAAGGCGGUCCCACCAGUGCCCACCAAUAAUGUAGAGGUUCCACCUAGCCAACCAACAACUAAUCUCACUACAGAUGUACUACAGGCAUUUAUGUUAACCUCUAUGGAGAAUCAGGCACAAAUGACUCAGAUGAUGCAGACACUAGUUACUAACUAGGCUACAGCAACAGGCAAUACAACAGGC